CCGGCGCCCCCUAUGGUCACUAGUGGUAACAGCAGCAGUAACAGCACUGUUGCACAGUAGGAUUUGGCCUCCUGUCCUCCUUAGGGUACCCAGUCAGAGAACGGCCCCCCACGGACGGGUUCCUGCUGUGGAUACUGUGCCUCCCUUGUUGGGCGGGCGUGGGCUUGCCUAGGACGCUCCUCAGCUGGGCCCAGAAGAAGGCCUGCUGGUUGACCUGCUGAGGCCACUCCAGGAGCUUCUGGGAUCCAAACGUACGGCGGAUAGAGCCGGCGUGACCUCCCACUGAUGACAUGGCGGAGUACAGACUUCCAUCUGAGAGGACGAAAACAAUCAGUGGAUAGAAGGUCAUGUGGCGCCCACGCCAUCAGCGAAACACGGAUGAGAAAAUCCAGCAUUUGCAUGGAUAACUUUUAAAACAAAGUGAGUCAUCUGGCAGUGUUGGCUUUGUUGUGUUUUCGCAGCAACAUCUCAUCAAAACUCAUUCUAAGGCUGACUGACAUGAACCAAGAAGUGAAUAUUACUGUCGACGGCUGCAAGAGGGCGCUCUAUGCCUGUGACAACUAUAUGCUGCUCCUGUAGGCUACCCCUGGAAAAUAUAACUCAAUCAUUAACCUAAAGACAACUGACAAGACUGAUCACAAACAAAAAUUCUGGCAGAGCUGUUCAGAAGCGACACAGAGGAUGAAGAAUUCAAUGGAGUCAGCGAUGUGGAGAAGAUGCGGGAUCUUAGGGAACUUGCUUUCCGUUAACUUGCUUGCUGGACUCGCUGGCUUGUAAUGUUAAUCAGUCAGCCUUCCAGGUAUGUUAUUUAUGCUAUUAUGUCACCGAAUAACUUAAUAUGUUACAUUAACAUACCCGACACCUAUUCCGCCUGUUGUUCUGUGUGCUAUUCUCUAGUUGAAUAACCUGCCUUUCCAGAUUAAAUGUCUGUUCUUGGUCUUGAAUUUUGUGAAAUAAAUUUUUAAAUGUGACUUAUAGUCCAAUGUGACUUAUGUUUUUUUUCCUCUUCAUGACUUCUUUUUUUUACUGAUGCAGGUAUAGUUCGGAAAAUGUGGUCAUUGUUUAGAGGAGUAAAAUGGGUGUGCUUGUGCACUGUCUCAACCAGUUCAAAGCUUGAAUAUUUGGCAACCGUUGAAAAUGUUGAUCAUUUUUUGUCUUGAACAUGUGUUUACAUUGCUGAUCAGCUCCAGAUGAAACUAUGAGCAAAUGAUACAGCUUCUGAUAGUGCAUACACUCAGCCACCCACAUUCAAAUGA